ACGCGGGCUGGAACCUCUCGGGGUUACAGCCUUGCUGAAUUAUUCACCCUUGUCUUUUGCGUACUUCUUGUUUCCUUGGUGGGUUCGCCCACCACUAGGACAAACAUAAACCUUUUGUAAUUGCAAUCAGCGUCAGUAACAAAUUAAUAAUUACAACUUUCAACAACGGAUCUCUUGGUUCUGGCAUCGAUGAAGAACGCAGCGAAAUGCGAUAAGUAGUGUGAAUUGCAGAAUUCAGUGAAUCAUCGAAUCUUUGAACGCACAUUGCGCCCUUUGGUAUUCCAAAGGGCAUGCCUGUUCGAGCGUCAUUUGUACCCUCAAGCUUUGCUUGGUGUUGGGCGUCUUGUCUCUAGCUUUGCUGGAGACUCGCCUUAAAGUAAUUGGCAGCCGGCCUACUGGUUUCGGAGCGCAGCACAAGUCGCACUCUCUAUCAGCAAAGGUCUAGCAUCCAUUAAGCCUUUUUUUCAACUUUUGACCUCGGAUCAGGUAGGGAUACCCGC
rnacentral:sRNA from 1 species